rnacentral:rRNA from 1 species
ACGCUCGACACCUACGGGGGGCAGCAGUGGGGAAUAUUGCACAAUGGGGGAAACCCUGAUGCAGCGACGCCGCGUGAGCGAAGAAGUAUUUCGGUAUGUAAAGCUCUAUCAGCAGGGAAGAAGAAAGACGGUACCUGACUAAGAAGCCCCGGCUAACUACGUGCCAGCAGCCGCGGUAAUCUGAGCGGGCUGGCAAGGC